CACGUAGGGCGCAAGCGUUGUCCGGAUUUACUGGGCGUAAAGAGCGCGCAGGCGGUCGUUCAAGUCGAGUGUGAAAGCCCCCGGCUCAACUGGGGAGGGUCACUCGAUACUGAUCGACUCGAAGGCAGAAGAGGGAAGCGGAAUUCCCGGUGUAGUGGUGAAAUGCGUAGAUAUCGGGAGGAACACCGGUGGCGAAGGCGGCAUCCUGGACCGGCAUUGACGCUGAGGCGCGAAAGCCAGGGGAGCAAACGGG
rnacentral:rRNA from 1 species